UAGCCUUUGCUUGCUGCGUUGUUCCCAGAAGGAAAGAUCAACAAGAGAUGCAUUAGUCCAUGAAAACAGAGCUCGGAGUGAAGCCUGACUGCCCACAGAAUUGCAUCUCUCCCUGCAGAGAUCAUUAUGCCCCAUAUGUCAAGCAACAGUUUAGGGUUUGCAAUCAGACUCUUUGACUCAGCUUCUUCCAAAAGGUAAAGAAAAGAAAAAAGAAAAAAGUCUCAGCUCACUCAUCUACCAGACCUCACCAGCCAUUCUUAACUGUUAAAUCAAUCAAGAUAAGGUACUGUUAUCAUCUCAUUUUAAGAUGCAAACAUGGAGGCAGAGAUGUGACGUAAUUUGUCCCAGAAUCACUGAAGGAACCAGGCUUUCCCCAGGCAUCAUGAUUCUACAUUCUAGAGGCCUCACAACAAUACUAUAAUCCCUUUUAUUAACUGCAUCCUCUUUGCUUUAGAAAACAUGUGUAUGCUGGAAACUUACUCUUUCUGCUCAACAUUAUAGUUUUGCCUUGUAUAGUCUUAAUCCACAUGGAUUUGGUUUUUUAUACAUAGUGCGAGAUAAGGUUCCAAUUUCAGUUUUUAAAUUCACACAACCACACAACCAAUUGUUCCAGUGCCACUUAUUAAAAAUGUCAGCUUUUCCUAAGCAAUUUGCAGUGUCAUCUCGGUCA
rnacentral:lncRNA from 1 species